rnacentral:rRNA from 1 species
UUGAACGCUGGCGGCAUGCUUUACACAUGCAAGUCGCACGGUAACAGGCCGCAAGGUGCUGACGAGUGGCGAACGGGUGAGUAAUGCAUCGGAACGUGCCCAGUCGUUGGGGAUAACUACUCGAAAGAGUAGCUAAUACCGCAUACGAUCUAUGGAUGAAAGCGGGGGACCGUAAGGCCUCGCGCGAUUGGAGCGGCCGAUGUCAGAUUAGGUAGUUGGUGGGGUAAAGGCUCACCAAGCCAACGAUCUGUAGCUGGUCUGAGAGGACGACCAGCCACACUGGGACUGAGACACGGCCCAGACUCCUACGGGAGGCAGCAGUGGGGAAUUUUGGACAAUGGGCGCAAGCCUGAUCCAGCAAUGCCGCGUGCAGGAAGAAGGCCUUCGGGUUGUAAACUGCUUUUGUACGGAACGAAACGGCUCUGGUUAAUACCCGGGGCUAAUGACGGUACCGGAAGAAUAAGCACCGGCUAACUACGUG